UACAGAGGGUGCGAACGUUGCUCGGAAUUACUGGGCGUAAAGCGCAUGUAGGCGGAUCCAUAAGUCGGGCGUGAAAUCCCUAGGCUCAACCUGGGAACUGCGCUCGAUACUGGAUGGCUUGAAUUCGGGAGAGGGAUGCAGAAUUCCAGGUGUAGCGGUGAAAUGCGUAGAUAUCUGGAGGAAUACCGGUGGCGAAGGCGGCAUCCUGGACCGACAUUGACGCUGAGGAGCGAAAGCUAGGGGAGCAAACGGG
rnacentral:rRNA from 1 species